rnacentral:lncRNA from 1 species
UGGUUCGAUUCCCUUUUGCAUGCGUGGUAUUUGAUCUGGGUUUGCAUCGUCUCACUCUCGCCGGUAUUUUUUGGCCGCCGUCGUCUAUUCUCACCGAUUCCAGAAGGAUCUCGCCGUCGUCUUCCGAAUCGAACGAUACCAGGUUUGUCUUCUAUAUCUGUUAAUCAUCUGUCUCUAUGUUAAGGUCUGCGAAUUACAGGAAACGAUUUGCUUGGUUUGUUCGAAUUGAUUGGUUUGUUUCUGAAUAUUUGGUUGUAUAGUUCGUGUGUAUAGAGUUUCUGAAUGUUUGUGUGUAUAGGUUCUGAUGGAUUGGUUGGUGAGGAAUUUGAUUGUGAACUGAUCUGUGUCUGAUUGUAAAGUCCAUUGAUGCAUGUAUUUUAGAAUAAAUUU